rnacentral:rRNA from 1 species
AUUGAACGCUAGCGGGAUGCUUUAUACAUGCAAGUCGAACGGAGUGGCGGGCGGGUGUGACAUAUAUCGGACCUUCCCCUGUAGCGGGGGAUAACUACUCGAACGAGUGGCUAAUACCGCUAACUUUUGGUGCGGCCGAGAUCGGAUUAGCUAGUUGGUGGGGUAAAGGCUCACCAAGGCAACGAUCCGUAGCUGGUUUGAGAGGACGACCAGCCACACUGGGACUGAGACACGGCCCAGACUCCUACGGGAGGCAGCAGUGGGGAAUUUUGGACAAUGGGGGAAACCCUGAUCCAGCCAUCCCGCGUGUAUGAUGAAGGCCUUCGGGUUGUAAAGUACUUUUGGCAGAGAGGCGGUAUCUGCAGAAUAAGCACCGGCUAACUACGUGCCAGCAGCCGCGGUAAUAC